AUACGGAGGGUGCAAGCGUUAUUCGGAAUCACUGGGCGUAAAGGACGCGUAGGCGGGUUGGCAAGUCAGAUGUGAAAUCCUACAGCUUAACUGUAGAACUGCAUUUGAAACUGCUAACCUAGAGUAUGGGAGGGGGAGAUGGAAUUAGUGGUGUAGGGGUAAAAUCCGUAGAUAUCAAUAGGAAUACCGAAAGCGAAGGCGAUCUCCUGGAACAUAACUGACGCUAAGGCGUGAAAGCGUGGGGAGCAAACAGGAUUAGAAACCCUGUAGUCC
rnacentral:rRNA from 1 species